rnacentral:lncRNA from 1 species
GGAAGAGGGGAAAAUUACCCGAGCUAGCUACACUUAAUAUAUAAUUUCACAGUUGAGAGCAGAGUAUACAUUAAAGAUGAUGCAGAAGCAGACGUUGGCGAUAGCUCUGGCGUGGCUCCUGGUUGCGUCGUCAAUCAUGAUGUGCGAGUACGCAGCUGCAGACACUACUCCAUUGAAAACUGCUGACCAAGUUCUCCAUCCCCUAGCAGGUAAGAACCAACAUCCGAUCCUUUUGCUUUCGCAUCUGAUAUUCUGCAUGCAUAGUAUAUAUAUAUAUAUAUAUAUAUAUAUAUAUAUAUAUAUCUUGAAUGCAUGCAUGCAUGUGCAUUUACGUAAUAUAUAGUAAUUUAGAGUGUAUAUAUAUAUAUAUAGAGAGAGAGAGAGAACUAACUAUAUAUGCUUGCUAAUGGAUACAAUAUACACUACUUGAAGGUUGUCGCUGCUGCAACUUCAUUCGUGUGAAAGGGUUUAUCCAAUGCGGAACAGUUUGUUGUGUGGAUGGAUGUUGCGGUCGCAAGUGAAGCACCUGCAAUGCAGCUACACAGACAAUAAUAUGAAUCAUGGUGGUGGUGUUGCACAAUAAGAUGAAUAAUGGUGGUCAAAAGUUGCAACAUCGCUGAAGCAAUCAAAGCCCCCCUUAUAGAUUUCCCUGUUUGUUUGUUUUGCAUUCCUAUCGAGUUAUAUAAUGUUUGUCGAAAAGAUCCUGUUUAAUGAAAAAUUAAUGUCUGGAAAUCUGGGUGUUUCAGCAGGAUUUCUUUACGUUGAUGUAUCAUGUAUGUAUGUCUACAUGAGGAUAUAUCUAUCUAUAUAAAAGCGAUCGACUCGUUAAUCUAAAAGUAUCAUUCAUUUCAAGAGUUUGAUUCACAAUCUGUCAUGCCUACUAAUUUCAAGGAACAACUAGAUGAACUGCUGACACAAGAAAAACUGUUUAUGCUCCAUACCAACCCAAACAUACAAAACUGCACCUUUUUAUAGUCAUUUCAUGAUACUUACUUACCAUAUGAAUACAGAGUAUAAAACCCCCUUUUUUUGGAAUACAAAGUUUAAAAAUAGAUCAAUCAUUCUCAAUGGGAUCGAUUCUUAUUUGCAUUAAUUAAUACAUAAAUAUUUUUUGCAGUAAGAUUUUCUUCAGGGACAGAGCCAGAAUUUGUUCUUUGGAGGGACCAAAAAUUUUUUUAACAUCAUAAAAUAUAUUCAUUACUAAAAAGUAAAAUUUCACUAUUACAAAACAUAUUUUUACUAAAACAAAAAUAAUAUAUUAAUAGAAUUUGCUUUGACAAAGAUAAUGAAACAUAGAAAAAAAAAGUAUUUUAAAACAUAUCAAAACUUCGUCAAAACUUGGGGAGCUAUAGUCUUGCACAAUUUUCAAAACAAACUAAAUGUACAAGUGAAUUUUAUAAAUUUUCAAACUUUGGGGUGAAUCUUACUGUUAACACCAAGAUCUUCUGUCACGUCCCAAUCACGUAAGACAUUCUGAUCAUGCACAAUAAACACAGUCAACACCAAAAGCUUGACGGCUUGACCGUCGGGGGAUAGCUCCGGCGUGAGAGUCAGUACAGACGAUCACAAGGUUAACAAUGACGGAAUAAAUAUCUAGUGACUUAAGAGCAAUAAUUAAUUAGUUACCUUUCACCGUGUGUCAUCCUUGCUUUAUAUCCCCAAAGUCCGGUUUGUCAUGUAUGCAACUGACUUUUCGGGCCCACCGUUUUUAGCCAACUAAGCCCUGUCCAAUCCUCAUUAAAUGCAAUGCAGAGAUGAUAGUCAAAGUUCUAUCCCCAAUCUACACCGGUCAAAGCCCAAGUGGAACCAUACUCAUCUAGUAAUUCGGCCCACUGUCACAGCCCAAUAUUUCAUAAGCCCCAAAAUAAAGAUAAUAUCCACCCAAUGGGUUAGCCCAAUGAACCGGCCUAAUACUUUCAAGACCCACCUCAACAUGUUUAAAGUAUUAUGGCCCAACACUUACAAAAAUUUCAAACCUUAGGGGGGCCGUGGCCCCCUCCAACCUCCAUGUAGCUCCGUCCCUGAUUUUCUUUUUGGUUGCCUGUGACAUCACACCAUGGGAUCGACAUUCUUCUCAUCAUUAUACUUUUUGUUGACCGUGUAUAAUUGCACGUAUUUACUGAUUGCGAAAUUGGACAACAAGAUUUAUAAAAGGCAAGCAAAUUCAAUCCAAUAGUAACGAUCAAGAUUAAAAAAAGUUGAAUUGUUCUCAAACUCACAAGAGAUCUACUGUACGAUAUAGAACAACAUGUUCUGUUGCUAAGUCUUUCAUUACUAACUUCAAGCUACUUAGCAACACCCCAAAUCACACUAUCUCUUAGUGAUUGUUUAGGUCUUAGUGAUCCAUUGUAUCCAAGUCUUAGUGACUUGAAGAGUUCUUAGUGAUCUACUGUAUGUAAGUGUUUGUGACUUGAAGAAAUUUUAGUGAUUUAUUGAGUGCAACUAUUAUAUGUGAACAUCUGUGUGAUCAGUCAUCCUUAGUGAAAAAGUAGAAGAGUGAACUAUAAAACCUUUGUAUUCUGAAUCAUUUAAAAUUUGUGUGUCCCCUUUAUAUUCUGCACUUACUUUUCUGUCAACUUCUUUAAUUUGUUUGAGAUUUAAUUCCAAUUGAUUGCUAAAUUCAAAAUUACAAAUUCUUUCAAAUUUUUGAAGGGAUUUUUCAAAUUAUUAUUCCGCAAUGCAUAAUUAUAAAUUAAUCUGCUUAAUUUAUAAAUCGGUAAUAAUUUCUUUUAAAAAAAUUUAAAAUCUAUUUAACCCACCUCUAAAUCUCUUGGUGCAUUUGGAAUAUAACAAAAACUUUGACACUUCCUGUGGGUUCUAUCCAGUGGAAAGAUAAUCACAAAAAUUUCUCUAGUCAAAGGGCAGAUAUGUAAAACGAAAGGGCCUACCUUACCCACUUUUAAGUCGCAAGUAAAUUGCCUUAAAUAUUUAAUAACUUGCAAAAGUGACUCCAAUAGAAAGAUUUCUAUCUAUCAAUCUGGCAAACGUGGAAUUCACUACUGAGGAGUAAUGGGAAAUGGACUCGAGUCAUGGGAAACGUGGAAUUCCAAAUGGAUGAUUUCAUUUAUUUUAAAUUAUUUAUCGUUUUAUAUAAUUUACAAGAAUUAAUUACAAUUUUUUUUAAAAUUACUUCUCAUAAAAAAUUGUUAUAGAUGUGAAAUAAAUAUGAUAAUAAAUGAGAAUUUAAACGUAUUAUAAAUAUUUGAUAUUAUAUUUAAUCAUUUAUUUAAUUCUUGUACACAACUUUAAAACAUCAGAAAGGGGACCAUGCUCGUGAGUUUUUUCACUUCAAUUACCAAGAGAAACCAAUUAGGAAAUGACCGACAAGCAGGCCUAUGGAAUAUCUUUAAAAUAUGAGUAAUGCUACAAACACAAACUAUUUUACAAAUAUUUUACAAACUGCUGAUGUGGCAUACUCCACAUCACCAUAUUGAUUAACGACUUGUUUAAAUAUAGUCUUCGGCCCCACACAAUAUGCUGAGAUGGAAUACUUUGUGUCUUUAGCAUUAUUCUUAAAAUAUUAUUCGACUAUAAAUAAAAUAAAAUAAAAUAAAAACACAACAACUUGAACGUACGUCAAGACAAGACAAUAGUCAAGGACUUAUUGAUUCUUGUUUUGUGGAAGAAUAUAAGUACACUUGGGUGAACAACACCCAAGCUAUUGAUAUUGAAUGUGAAUGUAAAUCAAGUUGCGGCCUAACAUGGACAAAUGAGUAAUGGCUGAUUGACCAGCUGGAAAUUAAGAAUCGCUCUCCUCAAUCUCCUAUUUGCUUUAUAAAUAGAAUGCAAGAGAAGAGGGGAAAAUUAUAUACCCGAGCUAGCUAGCUACACUUGAUAAUUUCACAGUUGAGAGUAGAGUAUACAUUAAAGAUGAUGCAGAAGCAGACGUUGGCGAUAGCUCUGGUGUGGCUCCUGGUUGCGUCGUCAAUCAUGAUGUGCGUGUUCGCAGCUGCAGACACUACUCCAUUGAAAACUGCUGACCAAGUUCUCCAUCCCCUAGCAGGUAAGAACCAACAUCCGAUCCUUUUGCUUUCGCAUCUGUUCUACAAAUUAAUAUUAAUCUGCAUGCAUACUAACUAUAUAUGCUUGCUAAUGGAUACAUAUAUAUACACUACUUGAAGGUUGUCGCUGCUGCAACUACAUUAAAGUGAGAGAGUUUUUCAAUUGCAACAAAGUUUGUUGUGUGGAUGGAUGUUGCGGUCGCAAGUGAAGCACCUGCAAUGAAGCUACACAGACAAUUAUAUAUAAUAUGAAUCAUGGUUGUGUAGUUGCACAAUAAGAUGAAUAAUGGUGGUCAAAAGUUGCAACAUCUCUGAAGCAAUUAAUCAACCNNNNNNN